rnacentral:misc_RNA from 1 species
GGAAAGUUAAUCUUAUUAAUCAGGAAGGAUAGUUUUGACAACAUAAAAAAAUCAAACCACAAUCCACAUAAUAAUCCCCUGAAAGCAUUUUAACAAAUGCAAAAUGGCGAUGCCAUCCUUUGGAAAGAAAAAUCUAACGCAACCAGUGGAUGAAGUCUUUUUGAGAUGGAAUAAAAUGAGAAGUAGAAUUACUAUGCUCCAUGUCCCCUUCAACCAAAAAUAGUCCUCAGUGAUGCUUCACCUCAAAGAGCCCAUCAGGACCCCAUGGGAACUCUUUAUUGCGUAUGUGCAGAUACGGAUAUGCAGGGGGCUCUUCAUGGUGGGGGUGGCCCUUUGAUAGAUUAUAGAAUGCUAAAAUAGUGCAGGUUGCAAUGCCUGCAUAAGUAAUCUUCUCCCACUUUGCCGUUUCACGAGCAUCAUCGUGAGCAGAGGAAGCAAAGCCGCGCUUAGGCUGAACGGAGUUUCGAGAGGCACCGCGGACGGCGGCGCGAAGAAGAUUAGAUCGGAUCGACGCCAUUGCCAUUUUCUC